rnacentral:pre_miRNA from 1 species
UCAAGUGAACAAGUGAAGCUGCCAGCAUGAUCUACCUUUGGAUGGUCCAAAGUAUACAAAAAUACAUAAAAAAGUAUACAUGUAUGCUAGAUAUCCCAAGCUAGGUCAUGCUGUGCCAGCCUCACUUCUUCCCUUU